rnacentral:lncRNA from 1 species
ACAGUCCACCUCCUCCCACCAGAUUGCACAAAGGUGUGCUCUUUGCUGCUGGUUAUUGAUUUGCUGCCAAGGACAGACGGCGAGGCUAUCUGUCGACUUUAAGGUAUCGUACUCUGUUCUUCAGAGUAUUUCCUCUUUUCUUAUAGUCAUAUAUAAGUAUAUAUUCUUAUUAAAAAGGCCGUAGCAACCUUACAUAGCCUACUGCUGCAUCCUCUAUGCUGCCCAUUGCUUCCAUCGGCCCACCCUGUCUAUCUUCCCCGGUUAUGAUGUAAGUAUGUGUAGCGAAUAGCCAGCUGAUUAAUUGAUGUCUGACGCUCCCUCUCCUAAAUCCUAAUAAUUGUCCAGAUGGCGCUCCGCUUCCUCUCCCCACCAUCUCCACAAGAAACUAAUGAAUUGCCCUUUAAAGUCUGUUGGGCCUCACCUCAUUUCGUCCCCACCGUCCUCCAGUACGGCUGGGUCUCUACCACACCACUCAUGCUGCCUCCGGUGAGCAACUCCCUGCCAUUUCCUCCAUGUUAUCUAUGUAUGAUAUAUCGAAGAUUGCAUCAUAAAUUUGCACUUUCUCAGGUACUACGUGCUCGACGAUGCCCAAGUAGCCAUCUUCCUUGGUUUUCCCUCACUGCAAAUACAGGCGCAUUCAGUUUCUGCCUCCUAAUGCUACAUACUAUUCCCAACUUCUCCUCGGUUGUUAAUUCUAGAAUUUUGCUACAUUCGGUUUUUUGCUCGGUGCACUCUAAUUCUUUAUAUGGAACGACUAAACACAUAUCGUAUUCUGCUGGUACGUUUUAUUGAUCGAUUGGCUUACCCCUUGAGAGAACUAUAUUAUCUAAGUGCAGCUCAAAGGAACAUGACCAUAGUCCUUCCAAAAGAUCCAACAAAGAGGAUGGACAGCAGGAGUAAACCAAACAUGCAGACCAAAUAGGUACUUCAAUUUUUAGUUCCAACAUUUGUACCUUCCUAUUUGUGUUACUUAUAACUUUUGCAAUGCUAUGUUUCACAAUACACACAUGAGAACUUCCACUUUCCUACGGACGAAAAAACCCUUCAAUUCAUAUGAACCUUUUGUUUCAUGGAACAAUACAUCUACGCCAUUGAAUGCCACCACAUGCAUCUGGAUGGAUAUGUUAUAAACCAGACUCAUGACUUGAAAUUUCCUACAGAUAUUUACUAUUUUGAGCGGCUCAACUAUGUAUGUAGUGUUAUCACUGUGCCGGUGUUUAAAAGGGAUCAUACCAUGUUUGGUUGAAAGUCUGGGCACUCUGCCUCAGAAAACGUGAUGCCUGCAUGAUGAAAAUUUGUGAUUUGCCAGGCUAGCCUGAUAGGUCAAUAUUUCAUUCAUGUCCUUGUUUGCUGCUAUGUCGUUGAGUGGUUAUAAUUUUUUAAAUACGAACCUUUUGCUGCUACUGCCUCAGAUUACUCCCAGGCUGGUUCCGAACCAUGUCCAAACACAUGACUUGGAACAGCUGGGCCAUGUUUUAUAAGCAUGGGCGACAUUUAUCCAUUUCUAUAUGAUUCCUGAACUAAUCUUCGUAUUUAGUUUACCAACAAAGCUUUACAACCAUGCCAGUGUGCCUGAGUAAGAAAUGCCCACUAUACUUCCAUAUUUUGAUGUAAUAACACCAGACAUGGUUCUCUCCCAAUAAUUAAUAGGCAUUCUGUAACCUAUUUGACCCAAGCCUCUGAUUGUGCUUUGUUAUUAUUCUUGCCUUACGAAGGUAUAACAUGCUGAUUUUUCUUUAUGUACAUAUACUAGAUUCGCCAUUCAUGUAACAGAGCUAGACUGAAAGUUAAUAGUACUCUUAAUGCCAGAUGUUAACAUGAGGAGGAGACAAUCAAAUAGGAAGGUUCUUCAUUGGUGGAUUAUGCUUAAAUGCACCGUGUUUCUCUUUGCCUUUCCCCAUGUUUUUCCCCCUUAAACCACCCGAGUCCCCAUUGCUCAACGUGUAUUAGGGUAUUUUUAGUCAUAAUAAAUCUAUAAAUACCGAACUGUGUUUGUACCACAUUUCAAAUGUUAACAUCAGAAUCUCUAUUAUAAUGUCAUCUCCGCUCUUUAGCUAUUCAGCAGUAUAACCAUUUACUUUACACUUUGUGGUUUAACCUAUAUGUGCUCCUCAAACAAGGGGUUUCAGCUUCUGCUAUUAUCCACUUUUGUACAUUGUCUCAGCAAUGAUCUCUAAUGAAUUUGUUCAUUGUUGAUUCUGUUAUACUGUAAAUUAGUACUCCACGGCCAUUCUCCCCUGCUUAGUCGUCGUCUACAAGGCUUGACUGAUGAAUGAUGACUGAUCACCUUGGCGAUCUUUCUUCCCAUUGAUUAUUCCUAGCUAGAUAGCUUCCUGUGCUCAGAGAAUUUACUAACCAAUUCCUUUCAUGUCAACUUAAUUAGCUUUUACUGUUUCAGUUACUGGCGAUGAUGUAACAACUAGACUUCCAUCCAGGCUAGCU